rnacentral:tRNA from 1 species
GUCUGAGUGGCUCAGUUGGUUGAGCAUCCAACUUUGGCUCAGGUCAUGAUCUUGCAGUGCAUGGGUUCAAGCCCCGUGUCAGGCU